rnacentral:lncRNA from 1 species
AAUAAUGUGGGGUUAAACAUGUUAGCGGGAUCCCAACCCUCCCCUAACCUGGGACAGUGGUAUAACAGUACAACAUAAGAACGAACUAUAAAAAUCAGUUGAAAGGGGCUUAACUCAUCAGAUGGACAAAAAUACAAGUGGACGUGGCCCGGUACUUAUACAUCCCGACACAAAAAGACACAAUGAACAGAUCUGAGAGUACUGGCAGUUAUUUGACAGCUAGUUCAAAGCCACUAACAACUAAUAAAAAAAUCAUGCAACUAAGGCUAAACUAUCAAUCCGUACAGAUCCAAUAUCCAAUGGAUUUAGUGUAAAGACGUCAUAAACAGCCAG